rfam:Flavobacterium sp. MedPE-SWcel Flavobacterium-sp-MedPE-SWcel-C5, whole genome shotgun sequence.
CGGGGCUCACCUCUUUCCAUCCCGAACAGAGAAGUUAAGCCCGCUUGCGCAGAUGGUACUGCAAUUUGUGGGAGAGUAUGUCAUCGCCUUUU